rnacentral:tmRNA from 1 species
GGGGGCGAAAGGGCUCGACGGGGGUUACGAGGCUUAGGCGGCAUGUCGUGGCUCCAUCACCACGUUAAAAGAUGGGAAAAAACACAAAAGCCAACAACGAACUGGCACUUGCUGCUUAAUUAAAGCGGCACGCUGCUCCGAGAUUGCCUGUGUUUUGGAUGCAGCGAAGGCAACAGGCUGGUCUCAGGUCUUUCUCCUGAACUUGAGGCAAGAUAAAGGGAGAUGGGAUGAUGAAAU